CUGAGGCAAAAGGAUCACAGAUGCUGCUCGGGGCCAGCCCUAUACUCCCUCCAGUGCCUGGUCUCCGGUGGACCCGCGGGGCUCUGCAGUUCUCUGGCGGCCGCGCCUUGUAAGCGCUAAGCCGGGAGGAGGGCGCAGGCAGGGCGCACAGCUCUGAGCGCGACCCUACCCGGCUCGGGCCCGCAGCAGCCCCGACUGUCCGAGAGCCUCUCCGCAAGCAAGGCUCUGCGCCGCCCUCUGAGCCCACCUCCUGGCCACAACGCUGCCUGCGCUUCUCCAGCCCAGGCCGGAAGCCCUAUGCUGCCUCCCGAAGCCGGACUUUCUGGAAGCCCAUCUUCGUAUGCUCACCAGCCCACCCUCCUACGCUGGUCAGAGUGAGAUUGCUAACCUCAAGACCCCAUUCAAUGCCAGCUUUCAACUACUGCUGAAGACCAAUGUAGGUCCUGGAAUAGAAGAACUGCAGAGUAUCCGGAGCUGGCCGACCCCAGACUGAUUCUCAACAGGUGGCUGGUGAUCAGAGGAGAAUCGCCAGGCUGAGGGGGAAGCAAGGAACAUAUGGACCCAAGUAGGAUCCUGAAAGAAUUUCGAGAAGCUCCGAGCCCAAAUCAUACAGGCCCUAAGUAUUGGUCAAUCACCAGGAGUGAAACAGAAACUUAGACCACACACUCAAGUCCUGUUUCUGAAUGAGGGGCUCAAGUGCUAGGCCACAAGUGGCCGCUAUGGAUGCUGCAUUGUGGAGUCCCACCUGAUCCCUCCUUCAACCACGCACCUCAGACUGCAAGGAGAGCUAGAUGAGAAGGAGCUGGGGCUCUUGCGAUCUGCAGAGGCAGCACGCUGGUCAGGAAGAACCCAGAACACCUGCCUCAGACACAGCCAGUCUGUCCACACACAAAAGGCAGGGCUGAGGGGCUAUUAAGUCAAACCUGGAGUCACAGCCCCAAUGUCCUCAGACAGUCCCCAACCCUCUGCAGCAAUGUGGACAUGUGUCAGUGUGGCUGAAAAGCUUCUUCUCUGAGCUUUAACAACUUUCUGGUGUAACUUCUGAGAGGGCUGAUUGCUUAUUCAUGUGGAAGCAAGACGCCCAGUCCGUUUUGCCUGUUUUUGCUACUCUUUGUUGUCUCGGGGGGAGUGUUAUGGUAGCUGCAAAUGGCUUCUCCCGUGACAUUUGCUGACAUUCAGUGAAGUACAUUUAUCAGCGCUCGCGAGCUCACCUCCGCACAUGCAAUCCAUUUUGUUUUGUUCUUCAUGGUAACCCCCUUCCCAAC
ensembl:processed_transcript Six3os1 SIX homeobox 3, opposite strand 1